rnacentral:rRNA from 1 species
GACGAAUGCUGGCUGCGUGCUUAACACAUGCAAGUCGAACGGUGAAGGGGAGCUUGCUCCCCGGAUCAGUGGCGAACGGGUGAGUAACACGUGGGCAACCUGCCCCUCACUCUGGGAUAACUCCGGGAAACCGGGGCUAAUACCGGAUACGACCGGGAGCGACAUCGCUCCUGGUGGAAAGAAUUUCGGUGAGGGAUGGGCCCGCGGCCUAUCAGCUAGUUGGUGGGGUAACGGCCCACCAAGGCGACGACGGGUAGCCGGCCUGAGAGGGCGACCGGCCACACUGGGACUGAGACACGGCCCAGACUCCUACGGGAGGCAGCAGUGGGGAAUAUUGCGCAAUGGGCGAAAGACUGAGGCAGCGACGCAGCGUGAGGGACGAAGGCCUUCGGGUUGCAAACCUCUUUCAGCGGGGACGAAGCGAAAGUGACGGUACCCGCAGAAGAAGCACCGGCUAACUACGUGCCAGCCGCCGCAGUAA